CUCCAAAGGAAGUUCCGACAAAGGCUAACAAUUCUCGAAAUAAUUGUAGCCGGAAUGGGGAAGAUAGAAAGCCAAAAACAUUCAACACCUUGAAGCACGGCCCUAAUCAGUUCCAACUUGCCGGCAUAGGAUAAAGAUGCACAACUCCAAGCUCCAAUAUAACCCGCUAUUUUUUCAAGAAACGGUGCAUAAGAACUCACUUUGAGCUUCUCCGAUGCAAGAGGAAUACCCAAGUAACGAAAAGGCAUAGAUCCUUUCGAAAAAUUUGAGAUUUCCAUGAUAGUUUGAAGCUCAUACCCAAAAAUUCCAGCUGUGUAGAUGCUGGAUUUCAUAGUGUUGAUCUUUAGACCCGAUGCUAAACCAAAUUUGUCAAGGCAGUCGAUUAUAAUUUCAACGGACAUAGCAUCACCCCUUGCAAAAAGCAUCAAG
rnacentral:lncRNA from 1 species